rnacentral:tRNA from 1 species
GCGCCGUUAGCUCAGCUGGUAGAGCAAUUGCCUCUUAAGCAAAUGGUCGGGGGUUCGAAUCCCUCACGGCGCACCA